rnacentral:rRNA from 1 species
AGGCAGCAGUGAGGAUAUUGGUCAAUGGACGAGAGUCUGAACCAGCCAAGUAGCGUGAAGGAUGACUGCCCUAUGGGUUGUAAACUUCUUUUAUAUGGGAAUAAAGUGAGCCACGUGUGSCUUUUUGUAUGUACCAUACGAAUAAGGAUCGGCUAACUCCGUGCCAGCAGCCGCGGUAAUACGGAGGAUCCGAGCGUUAUCCGGAUUUAUUGGGUUUAAAGGGAGCGUAGGCGGACUAUUAAGUCAGCUGUGAAAGUUUGCGGCUCAACCGUAAAAUUGCAGUUGAUACUGGUCGUCUUGAGUGCAGUAGAGGUAGGCGGAAUUCGUGGUGUAGCGGUGAAAUGCUUAGAUAUCACGA